UCUCAUUUAGUGCGAAACCCCCUGGAACCCGGCCCGGGUCAGUGUUACUCACUUAGGAAGUCAGUUGGUAAGUUCCUAUUGAUGGAAUGGGACGUCACCACUUCCUGCCCCUCAGCGUUAUCAUCGGUCACUCCAGCCCAGGUGGCCUCCUGCAGAGAGCCCUCAUGAUAGGACGGCCCUAGAAAAGGCAAAAAGACAAAACAAAAAACAAAAAACAAACAAAAAAAACCUUGGCUUUUCAAGGUUUAAUAUGGACAAAAUUCAGAGUUUAUUUUGCUUCCGUAAUAAUAGCUCAAUUGCUUUUCUUCUCUCUGUCUUUGCCUGGCUAAUUUCUUCUCCAUAUUUAAGACUCUGCUGAGGUAGCUUCUCCCAGAAGCCUUUCCUAAUACGCACAGCAUCUCUCACCCCUACCUCUCUUUCUCUCUCUCUCUCCACCCUCCCCCCAUCGACACACACACUGGGUUUGAUGUCCUUAAUAUAUGUUUCCCUAAGGGUCUGUCCAUACAUCUGCCAUGAAACUUAAUGUCCUAUUUUGAUUAUCUUUCCAUGUGUACAUCUCUCUUACUAACCCUGUACACACUUAAAAGCAAAGAAUAUAUCUUCUUCUUCUUUGACUCUCAGACCCCUGCCCAGAGUAGUCCAAAACUGCUAACUGAAUGAAUGAGCAAACAAACAAUGAUGCCAGAAAACUUAAACAUGUAUCAGACACUAAGUUUACUUACGAUAAAUUGAACUGGAAGCAGCUCAAACUACUGGAUUGAAAACCAAUGACGUUUUUAAGCCCACUCCACCAUAAACCCAACCCAAACUGGGCUACAAAGUUAAGCAUUUUUCAUAUAUUUUCUUUUGGUCCAAAUGUCUUAAUAUUUGUAGACAAAGGAAUAGGGUCCUCUACCACAGAGAUAGAUUGGUGUUUUAAUAUUGACUGACUUUCUGCAAAUUCAUAGAUGAUGUAAAAACAUUUGCAGAAUAACGAUUUCCUACCACUGCCUACAGUGGCCAUUCACAGCAGAUAACUUACCAGAAUUUCCAGGUAGUAAAAGCGAAUUAGGUCAGUGCUCCAUAAAAUAAUAUGGUAAUUGUUAGUAGUCGUCUUUUCGAUUAUUACUGUAAACUAUAUUUUGUACUCAUAUAAGCAUAUAUUUGCAUAAUAGCAGCAUUGUUGAAUUUGAUGUUCAGUAGUUAUCUGAAAACAGUUACACACAAUGCUCCACUCUGUAUGGAAUAGAUGUCCGAUAGCCAGAAGAGAGGUGCUCAAAGUAAGAUAUAUUUGUAAUUAUUACCCAACUGGUUAAAAAAAACAAAAGGAUGGAGAACUCCAAAGUGUCUGUGGUUGGAUAUGCGUGAAUAUAUUUUUAUGGUAUUAAUUAGAAUCAGUUCUUAACUACAUCUUGAAAUUUUGGUUACAGUAUGUAACCCAAGGGGGAAAAUUCCAUUUCUCUAUAAAAUUAGCAGGAUUGACAGGUCUACAUGUAUAUACAUUCUGUGUCAUAAGCUCUGUGGAAUUGUCCACACAUAACCUUAGAAAGAUUGUUACCCCCAGUUAGACAGUAGGCUUUCUGUGUACUUGCACAGAGGUCUUACUUUCAAAAUCUCUACCUCCUUGAAGGUUAUACCACCCCAGAGGUGUCACUUGCUUAUUUCUCCAACGUAUGUUCAUUCAGUUCUUGGUAUGUGCUCCAAGUCCAAGUCCACAAUGGUGAAAACCAGGCAGGUUCUUCUCCUGCUGCUUUGUCAUUAUCCUGAUUUGGCAGAUGAGCUAAUAGACUUAUAGUCAGAUUCUCACAAUGGGGCUGCUAGAGGCGGUCUCCACGUGCAGAUGCUCAUGUGUGUGCUGAGACAAAUAGAACGUUGCAUAAUGUUUUUCAGUCUAUGGAAACAGGGUGUGGCUUAUAUACAUUUUUGUGCCUUAAAAAUAUUAGGAAUAUGGAUAAACAGAUACACACCACUGUGUAUAAAAUAGGUAAACAACAAGGACUGACUUUACAGCUCAGGGAACUAUGUUCAAUAUGUCAUGAUAACCCAUAAUGGAGGAGAAUCUGAAAAAAACAGCAAUCCUUAAAGAAUUAAUUAUGUAAAUCUCUAAUGACCCAGCAGUGGCACUCCUGGGCAUUCAUCCUAGAGAAAGGAAAACUUAUGUUCACAUAAAAAGCUAUAUACAAAUGUUCAUAACAGAUUUAUCAUAAUACUCAAAAAAGAAACAACCCAGAUUGCCUCCGACUGAUGAAUGGCUAAAUAAAUGUGCUUUUCCAUCUAUAUGACAUUCUUCACGUUACAAGAUCAUACAAGUAAAGAACAGCUUAAUGGCAGCCUGGGGUUAAGCAGGGGGUAGAGACAGAGGGAUGUAGGUGUAGCUUUAAAAGAGCACAUGCAGGAAUUCCCCUGUGGUGCAGCGGAAACGAAUCUGACUAGGAAACAUGAGGUUGCGAGUUCGAUCCCUGGCCUCACUCAGUGGCUUGAGGAUCUGGCGUUGCCAUGAGCUGUGGUGUAGGUUGCAGAUGCAGCUCGAUCCCACAUUGGUGUGGCUGUGGUAUAGGCUGGCAGCUACAGCUCCGAUUAGACCCCUCACCUGGGAACCUGUAUAUGCUGCGGUGUGGCCCUAAAAAGACAAAAAGGGGGGGCAAAUGCGAGGGGACCCAUCAUUGACAGGAUGUUCCGCAUCUUGACAGUGUCAACAAUAUCUUGACUGUGAUUUUGUGCUGAAGUUGAUGCUACCAUUGGGGUAAAUUAAGUAAAGGAUAUACAAGAUCCCUGUGUAUAAUUUCUUCAGCUGCAUGUGAACCUACAGUUAUGUCAAGAGGAAAAGUUUAAUUGAAAAAGUAUACAGGAGUUCCCAUCGUGGCGCAGUGGUUAACGAAUCCGACUAGGAACCAUGAGGUUGCGGGUUCGGUCCCUGCUCUUGCUCAGUGGGUUAAUGAUCCGGCGUUGCCAUGAGCUGUGGUGUAGGUUGCAGACGCGGCUCGGAUCCCGCGUUGCUGUGGCUCUGGCGUAGGCCGGUGGCUACAGCUCCGAUUCGACCCCUAGCCUGGGAACAUCCAUAUGGGACGGGAGUGGCCCAAAGAAAUAGCAAAAAGACAAAAAAAAAGAAAAA
rnacentral:lncRNA from 1 species